UGCUGGAGGAGUCUUGAGGACACUGUGGAAGGUCGAACAUUGGAGGAGUUCGGGAUUCAAUUCUGCUGUACUCCGACUUUUGUAGGAGUCUGAAAGGAGUCCGCUUAUUGUAGAAGCUCGGACGAAGAUCGGUUAUCGUGGAAGCUCAGAUGGAGACUUCUUAUUGUAGAAGUCUCACUGCUGGAGAAGCUCGAUCAUUGACGAAGUCUGGAAGAGGUUCAGAGUAGAGAUUCGGUUGGUGGAGCCCGUCUGUUGUAUGAGUUCGUCUGUGAUCCAUCCACUGUAGAAGUUCGAAUGGAGUCCAACUCUUGUAGGAGCUCGGAUGAAGUCCGGAAGGUGGUCGACCGCCGUAGAAACCCAGAUGGGGUCUGGCUACUGUAGAAGUUCUGCUGUUGGAGAAGCUCGGACAUUGACGAAGUUCGAAAGAAGUUCGGAGUAAAGUCAUUCG
rnacentral:lncRNA from 1 species